rnacentral:rRNA from 1 species
UACAGAGGUCUCAAGCGUUGUUCGGAUUCAUUGGGCGUAAAGGGUGCGUAGGCGGCGCGGUAAGUCGGGUGUGAAAUCUCGGAGCUUAACUCCGAAACUGCAUUCGAUACUGCCGUGCUUGAGGACUGGAGAGGAGACUGGAAUUUACGGUGUAGCGGUGAAAUGCGCAGAUAUCAGGAGGAACACCGGUGGCGAAGGCGGUUCUCUGGGCCUUACCUGGACGCUGGAGGAGCGAAAGCGUGGGGAGCAAACAGG